GGCACAGGAGGAGGGCUGGUUAAAACAAAAAGGUAGCAACCCAUUCCUUGUAGCUUUCAUAGCUGUGAAACAGAGAUGAAAAAAAUCCUCUUGUCGUAUGUAGGGUUGAGAAAAAAAAUGUCCUGGGAACUGGAGGGGAUGACAGGCUAGUGAAACCAAAGAACAGAUUGCAGGGAAGGGAAAAGAUAUUUAAAGAAAGUCAGAUAAUAGGAGAACAACUGAGACUGUUUUUAGAAUCUUCGAAAUGACAGCAUGUAAUAACAAGCUCUAAAUGAAUCCCAUAUGCUUUAGGGAUGCAGUUGCUUCUUCAUCCCCUCUUUUUGUUGUAUUUUUGUUACUUUUUGCUAUCACACAGAGCUGAUAAUAAUUUGCUGCCCUGUUCUUAUUCACAGGCCAGCAGAGAAAAAAUCCAACUAGAAUAUGUGUUGUCGAAGACUUUCAUAGAAUCAUAGAAUAGUAGAGUUGGAAGAGACCUCAUGGGCCAUCCAGUCCAACCCCCUGCCAAGAAGCAGGAAAUCGCAUUCAAAGCACCCCCGACAGAUGGCCAUCCAGCCUCUGCUUAAAAGCCUCCAAAGAAGGAGCCUCCACCACAGCCCGGGGGAGAGAGUUCCACUGCCGAACUUCCUCACUGUGAGGGCUGUUCGGCAGUGGAACUCUCUCCCCCGGGCCGUGGUGGAGGCUCCUUCUUUGGAGGCUUUUAAGCAGAGGCUGGAUGGCCAUCUGUCGGGGGUGCUUUGAAUGCGAUUUCCUGCUCCUUAGCGGGGGGUUGGACUAGAUGGCCCUUGAGGUCUCUUCCAACUCUACUAUUCUAUGAUUCUAUGAUUCUAUGAUCUUCUUUGUCUCCCUUAACAUACAUUUAGCAAACUGCUGCUUGGGCUUUCAUUUAACAGCUGGAAGAAAACCAGGGAUGGAAAAGCAGGAGCUGAUUGUAUUUCAGUAGCUGGCUGCGGAGAGAUUGAGACAUCUCCCUGAGCUGCCAUGAGUCUCCCAGAGGCCUGAAAAGAUAACAUCAUCUCAAACCAGUGCAAGUAUCAGGGCAGAAGUAUAAUGUGAUUUUGGCACUAGUCCUGUGCAUGUUGUGGAGAAGUCAUAGUUAUUGUGUUUAAUUUUGACUGUUGGAGUAUGUAUUUGUGUUAGUAGACACAGUAGCUGAAACAGAAGCCAUCUUGUUUCAAUCCACAGUAGUGCUGUUACCAAGGAGACGAAGCUGGCUAGCUCAUGAGAGGGAGAAGUGGGCGGAGCCAAGAAAAGGAAAAAAGGGGAGUUUUAAAAAAGAGAAGCCAGUGAGUGAGUGUGUGUGUGUGUGCGUGGCUGGAGGCUUUUCAGUCAAGAAGGGCUGAGGAGACAGGCCUGGCCAAAAAUCUUUAGUCAAGGCAGACUAAAGAGAGCCUAGUUAAGAUCUCUAGUUGAGAAAGACUAGUGAUCAGGAAUUUGAUCGAUAAUAGAUCAAAUUAAGAGCUUUUAUUGUAGUUUGGACAUUGUUCACUAAGGAGCUCAGCUGAGGUUAGAGUUCGCUACAAUUUAUAUCAUCAGUAGGAGAGUGAGAGUGGAUUUACACCAGAGACUACUGUUGGGUGGUUAUAAGCGUUAUUAAACCACUUGUUUAUCUAAAGUUCCAUAAGUAAAUCAAUCAACUUGCAACCAUAAGCUUUGUACGCAAUAAACUUGUUCUUUGUUAACAACUGACUCAUUUCAUCUUAUCUGUGUCUGUGGAUCCAAAUUUCAUCGGUGAUAAUUCAAAAGCCUCACGUUGGUGGCAGUUACCUUAAUAAAUCACCUAAUUGGGGAAGAGAAAUAGUCACAGUUACCUCAGAAAGGGAACCACAACACAGAAAUCCCUAACUACAGAGACAGAGGCUGGGAUCUUGAAAUAAAGAUCACCCCCUGUAAUCCUUCCCCUCAUAUAAAGGUGAUAUAUAUAUAAUCUAGAGGGAUUAAAAGACUCAAAAAUCUCCUCAGCAGUGGAAACAGCAUUUACAAUUGCCUUUAACAUCAUCACAAUUUGGUGGCAGUGGUGGGAUCAAAAGGAUUCCUCCCUGUCACAUCACCAUCACAACCAUCGUCAUAUUACAAUUUGGUGGCAGCGGUGGGAUCAAAAGGAUUCCUCCCUGUCACAUCACCAUCACAACCAUCGUCAUAUUACAAUGUCUAAGACAUUUUAUUUUAUUAUUAACAAUAAAUAAUUUAUACAUACAUACACACACACAUGUAUGUAUUUACGUCUGUAUGUAUACAGCUUAUUAACCUGCUAAAGGCUUUUCUGGUGCCUGAUAGAAAGGCAAAGCCAGAGUUCAGCCACUGUGCAAUUAAACUCUUGUAUGCACUGAACUUCAAAAUGACUUCAUGAUUAAUUGGCCGGUAUAAGCAUACACUAAAUUAAUCGCAGAGAACGAGGCAGACAUGAAGGCUUGGUUGAACUAGGGCCACCAUUUAUUAAAUCCAAUGAGAAUGAUCAGCAGAGCAGAAUUGAUGUGCAAUGGAAACCUACCCAAACUAUAGCAUUUAAGUUACUACACCACCAGAAGACUCAGAAAAUAAGCUCUUUUAGUCAUUAUGGUAAAUCAGUACAGGUUAGGAUCCCUUAUCUGGAAUUCCAAAAUCCAAAUGACGCCAAAAUCCAAAAUAGUUCACAAGAAUGGUUGAGAUAGUGACACCUGUCACUUUCGUUACUUCAGUGUACACAAACUACAUGCACAAAUAGGGCGUAUAUAAUUAUCUUUAUACCAUGUUUAUAAGAUGCAUGUGAACCACAUAACAACAAAGCUUUAAUACAGUCCAAAGACCCAAUUAGUUUAACAGUCAAAGAUACACAAAGUGCAUACAGAUUAAUAUACUGAUUAAAAUGCAAGAAGACACACUGAA
ensembl:lncRNA